GACAGAGGGUGCAAACGUUGUUCGGAAUUACUGGGCGUAAAGCGCGUGUAGGCGGCUCUGCAAGUCGGAUGUGAAAUCCCACGGCUCAACCAUGGAAGUGCAUUCGAAACUGCAGGGCUAGAGUCCUGGAGAGGAAGGUGGAAUGCUUGGUGUAGAGGUGAAAUUCGUAGAUAUCAAGCGGAACACCGGUGGCGAAGGCGGCCUUCUGGACAGUGACUGACGCUGAGACGCGAAAGCGUGGGGAGCAAACAGGAUUAGAAACCCCCGUAGUCC
rnacentral:rRNA from 1 species